rnacentral:misc_RNA from 1 species
AACGCACCUUGCGCUCCUUGGUAUUCCGAGGAGCAUGCCUGUUUGAGUGUCAUUAAUAUAUCAACCUCCUCAGGUUUUUACUUGUUGAGUGUUUGGAUGUGGGGGUUUCUUUUGCUGGUCUCUUUUGAGGUCGGCUCCCCUAAAAUGCAUUAGCGGAACAAUUUGUUGACCCGUUCAUUGGUGUGAUAACUAUCUACGCUUUUGACGUGAAACAGGUUCAGCUUCUAACAGUCCAUUGACUUGGACAAUUUUUCAUUAAUGUGACCUCAAAUCAGGUAGGACUACCCGCUGAACUUAA